rnacentral:rRNA from 1 species
AACCCUUGUCUUUAAUUACCAGCAUUCAGUUGGGUACUUUAAAGAGACUGCCGGUGUUAAGCCGGAGGAAGGUGGGGAUGACGUCAAGUCCUCAUGGCCUUUAUGCCCAGGGCUACACACGUGCUACAAUGGGUGGUACAAAGAGCAGCGACCUCGCGAGAGUAAGCAAAUCUCAAAAAGCCAUCCUCAGUUCGGAUUGAAGUCUGCAACUCGACUUCAUGAAGUCGGAAUCGCUAGUAAUCGCGGAUCAGCACGCCGCGGUGAAUACGUUCCCGGGCCUU